CGUACACAUCACGGACAAACCGAAAUGGUCCACCCACACAGACAGCGUGGUGAACCUCAGGAGGCUGAAUAUAUAUGGCUUGUCACCGAAAACACUCACAAACUUUUACAGAUGCACAAUUGUCGGGCUGUAUCACCGCCUGGUACGGCAUCUGCUCCGCCAACAACCGUAAGGCUCUCCAGAGGGUGGUGCGGUCUACACAAAGCAUCACCGGGGGGCAAACUACAUGCUAUCCAGGACACCGACACCACCCGAUGUCACAGGAAGCCCAAAAAUAUCAAGGACAACAACUACCCGAGCCACUGCCUGUUCACACCGCUACCAUCCAGAAGGCAAGAUGAACGUGGUACCUUCAGGCAUUUGGAAAUUGCUCCCAUCCCAAGGAUGAACCAGACUUGUGGAGGUCUACAUAUUUUUUCUGAGGUCUUGGCUGAUUUCUUAUGAUUUUCCCAUGGUGUCAAGCAAAGAGGCACUGAGUUUGAAGGUAGGCCUUGAAAUACAUCCACAGGUACACCUCCAAUUGACUCAAAUGAUGUCAAUUAGUGUAUCAGAAGCUUCUAAAGCCAUGACAUCAUUUUCUGGAAUUUCCCAAGCUGUUUAAAAGCACAGUGAACUUAGUGCAUGUAAACUUCUGACCCACUGGAAUUGUGAUACAGUGAAAUAAUCUGUCUGUAAACAAUUGUUGGAAAAAUGACUUGUCAUGCUGAAAGUAGAUGUCCUAACCGACUUGCCAAAACUAUAGUUUGUUAACAAGCAACUUGUGGAGUGGUUGAAAAACUAGUUUUAAUGACUCCAAUCUAAGUGUAUGAAAACUUCCGACUUCAACUGUAUAUAAAGCACAGGAAAUCAUGUUUUUACUGCAUUGGGUCUUUAAUAAUCUUUGUGUCAUCAUAAUGAUAUUGGUGAUAAUGUACUGUUAUGGUCCGAUAGAAAUGUAACAUGAAAUUAAUUUGACCAUCAUUAAUUAUUACCCUUACAAUACUGGUAUUGAGAUGUAUUCAUAAUGUGUUCAUAAUCAAUACAAAUAAAAUAAUAUUGUUGUCAGUG